rnacentral:rRNA from 1 species
GGGUUGUGAGGUUAAGCGACUAAGCGUACACGGUGGAUGCCCUGGCAGUCAGAGGCGAUGAAGGACGUGCUAAUCUGCGAUAAGCGUCGGUAAGGUGAUAUGAACCGUUAUAACCGGCGAUUUCCGAAUGGGGAAACCCAGUGUGUUUCGACACACUAUCAUUAACUGAAUCCAUAGGUUAAUGAGGCGAACCGGGGGAACUGAAACAUCUAAGUACCCCGAGGAAAAGAAAUCAACCGAGAUUCCCCCAGUAGCGGCGAGCGAACGGGGAGCAGCCCAGAGCCUGAAUCAGUGUGUGUGUUAGUGGAAGCGUCUGGAAAGGCGUGCGAUACAGGGUGACAGCCCCGUACACAAAAAUGCACAUGCUGUGAGCUCGAUGAGUAGGGCGGGACACGUGGUAUCCUGUCUGAAUAUGGGGGGACCAUCCUCCAAGGCUAAAUACUCCUGACUGACCGAUAGUGAACCAGUACCGUGAGGGAAAGGCGAAAAGAACCCCGGCGAGGGGAGUGAAAAAGAACCUGAAACCGUGUACGUACAAGCAGUGGGAGCACGCUUAGGCGUGUGACUGCGUACCUUUUGUAUAAUGGGUCAGCGACUUAUAUUCUGUAGCAAGGUUAACCGAAUAGGGGAGCCGAAGGGAAACCGAGUCUUAACUGGGCGUUAAGUUGCAGGGUAUAGACCCGAAACCCGGUGAUCUAGCCAUGGGCAGGUUGAAGGUUGGGUAACACUAACUGGAGGACCGAACCGACUAAUGUUGAAAAAUUAGCGGAUGACUUGUGGCUGGGGGUGAAAGGCCAAUCAAACCGGGAGAUAGCUGGUUCUCCCCGAAAGCUAUUUAGGUAGCGCCUCGUGAAUUCAUCUCCGGGGGUAGAGCACUGUUUCGGCAAGGGGGUCAUCCCGACUUACCAACCCGAUGCAAACUGCGAAUACCGGAGAAUGUUAUCACGGGAGACACACGGCGGGUGCUAACGUCCGUCGUGAAGAGGGAAACAACCCAGACCGCCAGCUAAGGUCCCAAAGUCAUGGUUAAGUGGGAAACGAUGUGGGAAGGCCCAGACAGCCAGGAUGUUGGCUUAGAAGCAGCCAUCAUUUAAAGAAAGCGUAAUAGCUCACUGGUCGAGUCGGCCUGCGCGGAAGAUGUAACGGGGCUAAACCAUGCACCGAAGCUGCGGCAGCGACACUAUGUGUUGUUGGGUAGGGGAGCGUUCUGUAAGCCUGUGAAGGUGUACUGUGAGGUAUGCUGGAGGUAUCAGAAGUGCGAAUGCUGACAUAAGUAACGAUAAAGCGGGUGAAAAGCCCGCUCGCCGGAAGACCAAGGGUUCCUGUCCAACGUUAAUCGGGGCAGGGUGAGUCGACCCCUAAGGCGAGGCCGAAAGGCGUAGUCGAUGGGAAACAGGUUAAUAUUCCUGUACUUGGUGUUACUGCGAAGGGGGGACGGAGAAGGCUAUGUUGGCCGGGCGACGGUUGUCCCGGUUUAAGCGUGUAGGCUGGUUUUCCAGGCAAAUCCGGAAAAUCAAGGCUGAGGCGUGAUGACGAGGCACUACGGUGCUGAAGCAACAAAUGCCCUGCUUCCAGGAAAAGCCUCUAAGCAUCAGGUAACAUCAAAUCGUACCCCAAACCGACACAGGUGGUCAGGUAGAGAAUACCAAGGCGCUUGAGAGAACUCGGGUGAAGGAACUAGGCAAAAUGGUGCCGUAACUUCGGGAGAAGGCACGCUGAUAUGUAGGUGAAGUCCCUCGCGGAUGGAGCUGAAAUCAGUCGAAGAUACCAGCUGGCUGCAACUGUUUAUUAAAAACACAGCACUGUGCAAACACGAAAGUGGACGUAUACGGUGUGACGCCUGCCCGGUGCCGGAAGGUUAAUUGAUGGGGUUAGCCGCAAGGCGAAGCUCUUGAUCGAAGCCCCGGUAAACGGCGGCCGUAACUAUAACGGUCCUAAGGUAGCGAAAUUCCUUGUCGGGUAAGUUCCGACCUGCACGAAUGGCGUAAUGAUGGCCAGGCUGUCUCCACCCGAGACUCAGUGAAAUUGAACUCGCUGUGAAGAUGCAGUGUACCCGCGGCAAGACGGAAAGACCCCGUGAACCUUUACUAUAGCUUGACACUGAACAUUGAGCCUUGAUGUGUAGGAUAGGUGGGAGGCUUUGAAGUGUGGACGCCAGUCUGCAUGGAGCCGACCUUGAAAUACCACCCUUUAAUGUUUGAUGUUCUAACGUUGACCCGUAAUCCGGGUUGCGGACAGUGUCUGGUGGGUAGUUUGACUGGGGCGGUCUCCUCCUAAAGAGUAACGGAGGAGCACGAAGGUUGGCUAAUCCUGGUCGGACAUCAGGAGGUUAGUGCAAUGGCAUAAGCCAGCUUGACUGCGAGCGUGACGGCGCGAGCAGGUGCGAAAGCAGGUCAUAGUGAUCCGGUGGUUCUGAAUGGAAGGGCCAUCGCUCAACGGAUAAAAGGUACUCCGGGGAUAACAGGCUGAUACCGCCCAAGAGUUCAUAUCGACGGCGGUGUUUGGCACCUCGAUGUCGGCUCAUCACAUCCUGGGGCUGAAGUAGGUCCCAAGGGUAUGGCUGUUCGCCAUUUAAAGUGGUACGCGAGCUGGGUUUAGAACGUCGUGAGACAGUUCGGUCCCUAUCUGCCGUGGGCGCUGGAGAACUGAGGGGGGCUGCUCCUAGUACGAGAGGACCGGAGUGGACGCAUCACUGGUGUUCGGGUUGUCAUGCCAAUGGCACUGCCCGGUAGCUAAAUGCGGAAGAGAUAAGUGCUGAAAGCAUCUAAGCACGAAACUUGCCCCGAGAUGAGUUCUCCCUGACUCCUUGAGAGUCCUGAAGGAACGUUGAAGACGACGACGUUGAUAGGCCGGGUGUGUAAGCGCAGCGAUGCGUUGA